rnacentral:rRNA from 1 species
AACGAACGCUGGCGGCGUGCCUAACACAUGCAAGUCGAACGUGAAAGUCCUUCGGGAUGAGUAAAGUGGCGCACGGGUGAGUAACACGUAGGUGACCUUCCGUUUAGAGGGGAAUAACCAGAAGAAAUUUUGGCUAAUGCCGCAUACGAAGAGCAAAUCUAAGAGUAGCUCUUGAAAGAAUGCCUCUGUAUAUGCAUUCACUAAACGAUAGGCCUGCGGAACAUUAGCUAGUUGGUGGGGUAAUGGCCUACCAAGGCUACGAUGUUUAUCCGGUCUGAGAGGAUGAUCGGACACACUGGAACUGAGACACGGUCCAGACUCCUACGGGAGGCAGCAGUGGGGAAUAUUGCGCAAUGGGGGAAACCCUGACGCAGCAACGCCGCGUGAGUGAGGAAGGACUUCGGUCUGUAAAGCUCUGUUAAUGUGGAAAAAUGGUUAGCGGUCUAAUAGGCCGUUGAUUUGAUGGUACACAUAGAGGAAGCACCGGCUAACUUCGUGCCAGCCGCCGCUGUAACAC